UACGUAGGGGGCAAGCGUUGUCCGGAAUUAUUGGGCGUAAAGUAGCGCGUAGGCGGUCCGAUAAGUCGGCUGUGAAAGUCAGGGGCUCAACCCUUGGAAGCCGGCCGAUACUGUCGGACUAGAGUCCGGAAGAGGAGAGUGGAAUUCCUGGUGUAGCGGUGAAAUGCGCAGAUAUCAGGAAGAACACCCGUGGCUAAGGCGGCUCUCUGGGACGGUACUGACGCUGAAGACGCGAAAGCGUGGGGAGCGAACAGG
rnacentral:rRNA from 1 species